UACGUAGGGCGCAAGCGUUGUCCGGAAUUAUUGGGCGUAAAGAGCUCGUAGGCGGUUUGUCGCGUCUGCUGUGAAAACCUGAGGCUCAACCUCGGGCUUGCAGUGGGUACGGGCAGACUAGAGUGCGGUAGGGGUGACUGGAAUUCCUGGUGUAGCGGUGAAAUGCGCAGAUAUCAGGAGGAACACCGAUGGCGAAGGCAGGUCUCUGGGCCGAUAUUGACGCUGAGGAGCGAAAGCGUGGGGGAGCAAACAGG
rnacentral:rRNA from 1 species